GCUCCAGCCACUCUGGUAGCCUCACUGGCUGUUUUCUCUCCUAACAGCCAGUGUGUGUCUUUGCCUGUGUUUGCUUCAUCAUUCACAAAGGCUGCAGCUGAACCCUGAUUUCAGAGGUGCUACUGUGCAUGAACCAAGUUUGUUAUCCUCAUCAUAGGUUUACAAGGUAAGUUGGAUUCAUCGUGUUUGAAGGUAAAGAAAGUACAUGAUGUGUCUGCAGUGUCAAGUCAUUUUUCAUGGGAUAAAUAUUGGUAAAAUCUUAUAACUUCUGUUUGCUGUAGAUGCGAAAAACUAAGCCUACAGCAAACAAACUAAUGUUCAGCAGAUAUGUUUAUCAUGUACAUCACUUUUGUCAGGCAUUAAGCUUACAUGCCAUCACCCCAUUAAAAUAAUGGCCCGAGUCAUUUUUUGACGAAAAUGAGUUUUGGUCCUAAAUCAUCUUUUGAUAAUGCUGGCCAUCCCUGAUAAGUCGCCUAAAUCCUUAGUUCAAAGGAUCAUGCCAUCAUCCUUUAUGAACAAACAGAGCAACUGUGGAGGCCGAGUGAGGGCACGCUGUGGAGGGUGAGCAGGAAGGGACAAGUGAGGCCUGGCCAAACCCAGGACCGAGAGGAAGGUUUCCAGCAGCAGAGAUGAUAAUACUCAAGGGGAUCAGUUUAGGUUACCUUAUAGUUAUAUUUCUGCUGUCCUUUUUGAGCUGCUGUAACAACAGAAUUUGUUACCCCUAAGCAGAUCAAUAAUGUAUAUAUUAUCUCUUAUCUUACGUAGUGUUGUUGUUAUGUAUGCAUGCAUGACUGAUUUACACUGAACAUUUUUUUAUGAGCUGAACUCAAAGAUCUAAGACUUUUUCUAUGUUCACAAUAGACCUAUUUCUCUCAAAUAUUGUUGACAAAUUUGUCUAAAUCUGUGUUAGUGUACAUUUCUUCUCUGCUGACAUAAUCCAUUCACUUCACAGGUGUGGAAUAUCAAGAUGCUGAUUAAACAGCAUGAUUAUUGCACAGGUGUGCCUUAAGGUCCUUACACACCGGGACUGAUGCAAAUCUACGACGCGAAAUAUUCGGAAGCGAAUUUCGACGCGCCUGACUAUACACAUCAAGCCCGAUGCGAUUUUGCGACCUUCCGGGGGGUAAAAAGGCGCGUCCCAGGUGGAAGCUGGAAGACUGACACAACACCAGACUGACUGUUUUUCAGUUCUGAUUAGACACUAGUGUUGAGAUGGCUGUCUGUUACAAUAGCAUGUACUGAAUCGGGGCCUGUACCAGAUAAGCACAUGAAUCUAUAAUCCGUAAACGUAAGGUAACAACCGAGACCUAAUGGUGCUGUGACAGCAAUGCGAUUGAGUUUGAGACAGUGAAAAUACAUAUGGUAUGUUGUAUCUGAACAGGUUAGCUUACAAGCUAAAGUUACCUAGCACAGAUGAAAGUUAAAACAAAGACGUUUAGCAAACUGUUAAAGCACACAAACCAUCGUCAUAUCAGAAAUCCGACGCUAUGACUCUAAACAAGUUGUCCUUCAGGUCAUUAUCUUUUUAAUGUUUGUGUCUUUUAUCAAAAAGCACUCUGUUCUCCGACACCUCAAUAAUUAGCUGGUCAGCCAUGUUGGAUAUACUGGUGAAUCUGACGUCGUAACAACAUGAAAUCUGAUUGGUCAGAAGUGGACACACAGUAUGCAAAACUUCAGAAAAAUUGACCUUGAUACGAAAAAAUAAAUGCCUGAAUACCACACGUUCCCAGUGUGAAAGGACAUUUAGACUGGCCACAAUAAAGGCCACUGUAAAAGGUGCAGUUUUACUGUAUUGGGGGAGUCCGGGGGGUAAGAAAAAGUCAGUAUCUGGUGUGACCACCAUUUGCCUUCCGCAGUGCAACAUAUCUCCAUUGCAUAUAGUUGAUUAGGUUGUUGAUAGUGGCCUGUGGGAUGUUGGUCCACAUAAUGCACUAUAACUAUGUAAUUAAAUUUAACUAUACUUCAUGUUUAUUUCUGUUUCUAUUCUAUCUCCGCUUUAAUGAUAAUGCCCUUCUAAAAUGUUUUCAUGGUGGUUAAGUCUUGCACUUCUGUGCAUAAACGAGUGAUAUAAAUAAACUUGCCUUGGGUUACCUCGCUUCUUCUUUGCCUGAAGCCAGGGUCCAGGCAAUGUACUGUAUGAGUCGUUGGCCUCCCACACCAUCACCACGCUGUCUGCACCCGAGGAGGAUCAAGAAUUUCUUCAUUACCCCAAAGAGCACCUUAUAAUAUUGCCAGGAAAAAUUAUAAGAAAGUGGCAACAAUGUGCAUUAAAACAUCAGAUGAAAUACAAUCAUUCACAACCGCCGUAGUCUUUUUAAAAGGUGGGUGGUAGAGGGAGCACAUAAGGUUUCAAGUCUAUCGGUAGUGUCUCCAUGACAAACUGCAGCCAGACUGAAGACCUUAAAAACAGAGCAAUUAAGGCCAGCAGAGCUAGACUGGACCUCCUCCAAGGUCUUUGUCCCAUACAAGUCAGUAAAAGUAGAUUCCGUCUGUGCUGCUUUUAAGAGUAAAUAAGGACAAACUCAACUGCACAUGAACAAAUUAUUGUCUCAAACAUCACAACUCUUCAGGUUAUAGACCCACUCUGAUAAAAAUCAUGUUUUUCUUGUUGUCUACAUGUUCAUAUGGCAUUUUUCUGAUGCUACAGAACAUAUAACGAGAAAACUAAGUGCAAAAUUGCAUUUCUGCAUUAAAAUGAGCCUUAUCAAAUCUCUGCUGACUCACGUCCUACAGGUUUUGGCAGAUUAUAAAGGCAUUACUCUAACUUGUGCUUUUUUUUUUCUUGCAGGUCUAAUGGAAAAUAAAAACCUGUAUAAGAUUGGCUUGUACUUGUUGGGUUAUUGAACAGUGCAGACAGUUCCUUGGAAAGCCUGGAAAAGAGAAAGCAUGGUAGAGGCAGUGUGACAGGGCUGAGGCAGUGUGACAAUGGCUGCGCUCAUAACAACCUCAAAAACAGAGAUGACAAAUAAACAAAGCAGAGGGCGGAAGAGGAACCCAUGUAAGCACAGGAACACAGCUCACCUCGGCUCGUUCAGCGGCUCUGUGUCCUCUCUCCCAUUAUUUGCCAAGUGGGAUCCAUGUAUUCCCAGAGCCCAUCAGCUAGCUUUUGUCAACAGACAUGGUGGCUGCCUCUGUGUUGAUGGAGAGAGCUAAUGCUGUUCUGUAGUGUUCUCACACCCUCCCCGUUCCUGCUAAAAAGACCUCAGUGAUUACUUAGUGAUCGCAUGGCAGGGCAAAAGCUGGAGCAGUGACAGUGGCCUGAUCUCAAGACUUCACCUUAAAAGCAUAAGCACUGAACGCUCAAACACAUUAAUGACAGGUGUGCACAGCAUGAGUAUCUAAGCAAGGGAAUGAGUACACUUCCUGGUUCUACACAGCCUUCUCCAACACUUAUGUCUCAUCUCUUUGUGAAGCAUAAACCAAAAACUGCUUUAAUGUUUACAGCAGUUAAGGCUCUAAAAAUGACUAAAUACAGUUUUGUUUGUCCCACUGGUGAGCCAUAUUCUCUGUUAAAACAAUAAACAUUCUUCUGGGACAAAAGCAAUUACUGAAA